GGGCGGGUCCGGCGCGGCAGAGCCUGUCGAACCCCGCCAGGGUCGAAAGACAGCAACGGUAAGGCGGUGUUUCUGGGUGCCGCCGGUCACCCGUCCGGA
rnacentral:SRP_RNA from 1 species